rnacentral:rRNA from 1 species
GACGAACGCUGGCGGCGUGCUUAACACAUGCAAGUCGAACGGAAAGGCCCUGCUUGCAGGGUACUCGAGUGGCGAACAGGUGAGUAACACGUGGGUGAUCUGCCCCGCACUCCGGGAUAAGCCUGGGAAACUGGGUCUCAUACCGGAUAGGAGCCAUCUUUAGUGUGAUUGUUGGAAAGUUUUUUCGGUGUAGGAUGAGAUCGCGGCCUAUCAGUUUGUUGGUGGGGUAAUGGCCUACCAAGGCGGCGACGGGUAGCCGGCCUGGGGGGGUGGACGGCCACAUUUGGACUGGGAUUCGGGCCAGACUCCUACGGGAGGCAGCAGGGGGGGAUAUUGCACAAAUGGCGCAAGCCUGAUGCAGCGACGCCGCGGGGGGGAUUACGGCCUUCGGGUUGGAAACCCCUUUCGCUAUGGACGAAGCUUUUUGUGACGGUACCGAGAUAAGAAGCACCGGCUAACUACGUG